rnacentral:rRNA from 1 species
GCGUCGAGCGGCGGACGGGUGAGUAAUGCCUAGGAAAUUGCCCUGAUGUGGGGGAUAACCAUUGGAAACGAUGGCUAAUACCGCAUGAUGCCUACGGGCCAAAGAGGGGGACCUUCGGGCCUCUCGCGUCAGGAUAUGCCUAGGUGGGAUUAGCUAGUUGGUGAGGUAAGGGCUCACCAAGGCGACGAUCCCUAGCUGGUCUGAGAGGAUGAUCAGCCACACUGGAACUGAGACACGGUCCAGACUCCUACGGGAGGCAGCAGUGGGGAAUAUUGCACAAUGGGCGCAAGCCUGAUGCAGCCAUGCCGCGUGUGUGAAGAAGGCCUUCGGGUUGUAAAGCACUUUCAGUCGUGAGGAAG